rnacentral:rRNA from 1 species
CCUACGGGAGGCAGCAGUGGGGAAUAUUGCACAAUGGGGGGAACCCUGAUGCAGCAACGCCGCGUGGGUGAAGAAGUAUUUCGGUGUGUAAAGCCCUGUCAGCAGGGAAGAAAAUGACAGUACCUGACCAAGAAGCCCCGGCUAACUACGUGCCAGCAGCCGCGGUAAUACGUAGGGGGCAAGCGUUAUCCGGAUUUACUGGGUGUAAAGGGAGCGUAGGCGGAGUUGCAAGUCAGAAGUGAAAGCCCGGGGCCCAACCCCGGGACUGCUUUUGAAACUGCCAGGCUGGAGUGCAGGAGGGGUAAGCGGAAUUCCUGGUGUAGCGGUGAAAUGCGUAGAUAUUAGGAGGAACACCGGUGGCGAAGGCGGCUUACUGGACUGUAACUGACGCUGAGGCUCGAAAGCGUGGGGAGCAAACAGGAUUAGAUACCCCAGUAGUC